rnacentral:rRNA from 1 species
AUACGGAGGGUCCAAGCGUUAUCCGGAAUCAUUGGGUUUAAAGGGGCCGUAGGCGGGCAAUUAAGUCAGAGGUGAAAUCCCACAGCUCAACUGUGGAACUGCCUUUGAUACUGGUUGUCUUGAAUUAUAGUGAAGUAGAUAGAAUAUGUAGUGUAGCGGUGAAAUGCUUAGAUAUUACAUAGAAUACCGAUUGCGAAGGCAGUCUACUAACUGUAUAUUGACGCUGAUGGACGAAAGCGUGGGGAGCGAACAGGAUUAGAAACCCUAGUAGUCC